CAAAAGUUUUAUUCUUGCUUAAGAAUUGAAAUAGAUUGACGUUAAUUUUGUUUUACAUGUAAAUUUUAGUGGAUUAUUAAAAAUAGAUUAAGAAGAUUCUAAAUGGGUUUUAAGAUUAUUUAAGGGUAGCAGUGCUUAGUUUUAUAAAUUAGAUGAGUCUAGAUUUAGCAAAAUUAAGAGCGUUGGCUUAAGUCGUGCCAGCAGCCGCGGUUAUACGAAGAAUGCGGGUCAAUAAGUUUUGGUUUUCAGUUAUAACGAGGUAUAUUGAAAAGAGAUUUUAGUCAAUUUUAUUAGGUGAAAUUUUAAAUUGACGAUAUGUUCUUUUAUUGGUAGUUGAGGCUGUGAAAUUUAUUAAUAAAAACUAGGAUUAGAUACCCUAUUAUUUUAAAUGUGAAAGUUAUGUGAUAGAUCAGAAUAGUAUUAGUUAUAUUCUUGAAAUUCAAAGAAUUUGGCGGUAUUCUAGUCCUUUCAGAGGAACCUGUUCCAUGAUCGAUAUUCCACGUUAUAUCUAACUUAAUUUUGUUAGUCAGCUUGUAUACCGCCGUCGUCAGAAUGUCUUUUUAGAGUAAUAAUUUUCUUGGAUUUGAGGUAAAUUAGAUGUCAGGUCAAGGUGCAGCUUAUGGUUAAGCGGAAAUGGGUUACAAUAAAUUUAUUUAUAUGGAAGAUAUUUUGAAAGUUUAGGGGGUCAGAAAGUGGAUUUGAUUGUAAUAGUUUAGAUUAAGAAGCUUUGAAUUAUUAGGCUCUAGGGUAUGCACACAUCGCCCGUCGCUCUCGUUAUUAAGGUGAGAUAAGUCGUAACAUAGUAGAUGUACCGGAAGGUGCAUCUAGAAAGAAGGAU
rnacentral:ncRNA from 1 species